UGUCAACCUAGAUCUUCAAUCAAGCAAAUCCCAUCUAACAUGAACUGGAGGUCACCACUCUCAUUCAGAUGAAAUUCUUUGGAGAGAAAUUUAUUUUCAAAGUAAGGAAUUCAUCAAAGUAAAAAUCUAUUCCAUAACCUGAUUUAAAGUCUUCAAAUUCUGUCACUUCAACUCUGGUCAAGUAGUGCAGAGCCUCUCCAUCCUCCUUCCCAAGCAGUGCAGACACUUGUGGAUGGUUGACAAAUGUUACCCAAAAACUUGGGAUUUUGGAUAUCAAUUCUGACCUCCUCUGAAAAAAUUGCUGACGGAGUUUGUUAGAUUUUUGUUCUACGUUCAAAAUUUCCUUACUGGCUUGUUCAUUAAGUCGGUCUAUUUCAUUUUCUACUUCAUCAAUAUGUUCAAUUGCUUCUUGCUGUUCUUUUUCAACCUCCAGCUUCCUAUGGAACUGACUUGUAUUUCUUGGACUGAGGCUGGAGCUCAGAUUGCGGUUUCCCAGCCAUAGCACAAGGAAAACGGCUAGAAACCAGCAGCCAGAGCCUCGGUACUCAGAACAGGAAGAAAGCUGCAGGAACUCUCCACCCACUAUUCUCAAACAAUUCAAAAUGAGUAUCAAGAAAAAAAAUUCUGAAAUUCUACAACUACAAUAUCACAUUUCUAUGAAGAUAUGUGCAGCCGUGCAGUUCCAAAUAAAACUGACCAGUUUAAGAAUACUUAUUAUAGAGGAUCUAAAUAAUAAUCCAGAAUUGCUAUUGCUAUUUCUUUAUGAAAAUACUUGAAUCAGCCGGCCGUUGGUGGAGCACGCCUUUAAUCCCAGCACUCAGGAGGCAGUAGCAAGCACUCAGGAGGCUGUAGCAGGUGGAUCACUAUGAGUUGGAGGUCUCCAAAGCUACACAGAGAAGACAUGUGUGGAAAAACCAAAGGGGGCUGGGGAAGGAAACAAGUGAAACUCUAAUAUAAUAUAGUACACAAACUUCAAAGCACUACUAAUGACAACUGUUGAUGUCACUAUCUCCUCUAUAUCAUUUAGGGUAAUGACUCCUUAAAAUUCUGGAUCAGAGAGUGAAGACUAAAAAUAACAUCAACAACGAAACAACUUCCUCCACUUGUUUGAAGUGAUGAUACUGUUCUCAGUAUAGCUAGGCUACUUCUCUGUAUGUACUUGCCUGUUUCCUCCUUUCCGUGUUACAUUUUUCCUUCUUAAGAGUCUGAAUUAAAGUAGAAAUACAUAAUAAUUAAUGGAAAGAGAAACUUGA